CUUAAUUUUACUCACUGAGAAUUGAUGGGAUAUUGAAAGCGGACUCCACAUGACAGGUGGUUGGAAGUGAAGGGUUAAAAAAAGUGCAGAAAUGUAAUCACAAGAAUAAAAUUGUAAACAUGUUUUGCUAGAUUUACAAAGAUUUUCAAUGCUGUCUUGGGUUGGGGUUAUCCAAAUGUAAUAUGGGGAGAUCGUCUCAGAGGGAGCUUUCCGUUCAAGAGUUGCUAUGGAAACACUUCCAUGGUAUAUUAUCCGAGUCAUGACCACUCUCCCACGCAUCAGCCAGCCUACAGUACCCAUAAUCACUGCUGUCUAGGAUAAACUCCACCCACACUGGGUAAAACCAGGUUAACAUACAUACAUAAGCAGAGCAUGUGCAUAUUACGAUCAUGUGUUUAUGACGCGUGUCCAUUUGUAGUACCCUAACCUAAGUGCAGAUCAAGUGGUCUGCUGUGUGUCUAAGUACACUGCGUUUCUGAAGUUAAAAUGAUGGUAUUGUGUGUGUUUUUAUGUUUGGGUGAAUGAACGCUUUCUCCUCAAAAGCAGAUGGAGCUUUCCGGGGAUCAUAACUUUUCGCGUGUUCCUAAGAAACUUUUCAAAGCAGCUGAAAAAUGCAGCCAGGGGCUAGGGAAUGGUUUGCCUUUGUGUCUAUGUGGGUGUGCAUGUAAGGGCGAGUGUGUGUGGCCAGUCUUUGUGAUUAUGAACAGUCCUCCCCCAUUCCCAGAAGCCCCUGCUGUUCACAGUGUGUGUGUUUGAACUUCUGUGCGCGCCCACAGCUCCUCAUUUCCCAUAUCUUUGGGGACAAUCUCAAUUUUGCUGCGCAAAUAUAAAGAGAGAUAAGAAGUGGAGGAGAAAUACUUUGGAAACUUGGUCCGGCGUCAAGAACGUAUCUGCUUAACUACACUGCCCAUAAGCUGACUGGUCAAUAAAGCGUUCCAGCUGUGCUAAGCAAUGAUAUCAGUAACAGACACGAAACACCUGUUACCUAAAUCACUGCACAGGAAUACGCACAUGACCACAUACAGGAUUGCUAUUUUUGUAAGAUUCUACCUCAACAUGUUUAUAUCACUGUGUGUAUAUUUAUAUUUUAUAUUUAUAUUUAUACAGAACGUUAAGUUUGCACAGCUAUGUCUAGUCACUUACACUGUGUAUAAGGUUACUGCCUAUAAUUUGCUGCACGGUCCUCUGUGAAGAACUGCUAAAGUCUUUCGUUGUUUUUGCUGAAACAAAUGACAAUAAAGAUUUAUCUGCUAGUGGAAUGAUAACAUUUCAUAAAAACGGGUGUUGUUAACUUUUUUCAGCUUUCUAUGUAACGUGACUAAAUAAAUAAACUAAUUAAACUACCCCCCCAAAUGUAAUCUAAAUGUUUUCAUUAAAUCAAUGUUUUAAUAUGUUUGUUUGAAUGCUGUUAAAGGGGACAUUUCACAAGACCUUUUUAAGGAAAAAAAACUUUUAAAAAGUCUCUGGUGUCUCCAGAGUAUGUAUGUGAAGUUUUAGCCCAAAAUAUCAUAUAGAUAAUUCAUUAUAUCCUGUUAAAAUUGACACUUUGUAGGUGUGAGCAAAAAUGUGCUGUUUUUGGGUGUGUCCUUUAAAAUGCAAAUGAGCUGAUCUCUGCACUAAAUGGCAGUGUCGUGGUUGGAUAGUGCAGAUUAAGGGGCGGUAUUAUCCCCUUCUGACAUCACAGGGGGAGCAAAAUUUCAAUGACCUAUUUUUUCACAUGCUUGCAGAGAAUGGUUUACCAAAACUAAGCUACUGGGUUGAUCUUAUUCACAUUUUUUAGGUUGAUAGAAGCACUGGGGA